GCGCCGGCUCCGGUCCCUCCGGCGCCGUGUCGGUGCCGCAUGCGCAGCGCCCGGGAGCAGCAUGGCGGCGGGCAGGGUCCGGGUCCCGGCAGCGGCGGCAGCGGGCUCAUCUGUCACUGCAUCCCUUGAAAGCAGUCGUGUCAUCAGCCUAAGCACGGACCUGCUUCAAGAGACCCUGGGAGUGGAUGCAAGGGUAAAGUGCCCAGGGAAUACCCUGGAGUAAGAACAGAAACGGAAAGAGAUGACGACCUGCUGCAUGGAGGUCUGCAUUGCAGGGGCUGCGCUGCCACGUAGAAACCAGGUACCUGAUGCUCCUCUGCCUCCCUCCAGCCCCAACAGGACCCUGAGCAUCAGC